CCUUUCGCUUUCCACUAUGAUUAUGAGGCAUCACUAGCCACAUGGAACUGGAGUAGAGAGGCCUGAGAAGAGGGAGAGAGAUGGGGGAACCGCUGGUCAUUGGAACAGUCAGAACACACACAACAUUAAUCAUUUAAGUUUGCCAUCUUAUACGGGAGUGGUUGUGGUGCCUCUAAACAUAACAAGAACAAUAUCCCAGAUCACUGAUCCCAGAUCACCAUAACAGAUAUAAUAAUGAUGAAAAAGUUUAAGCUAUUGUGAAGAUUACCAAAAUGUGAUGCAUGGACACGAAGUGAGCACAUGCUAUUGGAAAAAUGAUGCCAACAGAUGUGCUUGAUGUGGAGUUGCCACAAACCUUCCAUUUGUACAGAAAAUACAAUAUCUGCAAAGCUCUGUAGAAUGCAGUGUGCCUGUAUGUGGUUGCUGAUCUGCUGACCUGCCCCAUGGGUAUGAAACAGCAGCCACACCUGCAAUGACUCUACCUUCCCAUGGAUCCUCCUUUCAUUGUCCUACUCCUAGGCUAAGCCUGUGCAUUCAGCUUUGUAAUGAAGAGACCUGGCUUCUAGAGGAUAACCUCAUCACUAAGGUCAGAGGCAACAAGAACUGGCCUGAGUUUCAGUCCCCUUUCGUGAGGUUCCAGUUCAUGCUUGUGAGUUUUUACUUAACUUUGAUCUCCCCCAACGUAUACCCACAAUCUCCUUCCCAACUGCCUGCCCAACCUCAAGCUCCAGCCCAGGACCAAGAGAUAAGAACCUUACAGGGACUGCUUUACCAGCUCUGACAGUUGUGGAAAGCCAGUUUUCUGUAACAAAUCAAAAAUUCUCAUCAGGACCUCAGGAAGAAGUCCAGGCCAAGGAUUCUCCUAAGUGUUCUUAGCUAUUGCCUACUUCUAUUUUACAUAACUGGCUUCGUGGUCCAGGAAUGCUUCUUUUUCUCGACAAUCACCAAACUGAAGUGCUACGAGGAAGACUGUUACCCUGAGGUCUAAUGCAUGUGUCUCUGAGAAUAAGACAAUUUUUCUUAGAGAAAUGGAGCAAUCACACAUGGAGCCCACUGAAGUUCAACCUUCUCUUGUAUAAUCACAUGCACUUGCCAGCCCAUGUAGUCAAGCCUGUCUACCCUUGUGAUUUUCUACAGAUAAAUGAGUAGGUCAUUCUCUUCUUUACCGUGUUUAUCUACAAGGGUACCAUCAUGAUAGAAAAGAUGAAAGUGGGACACAAAUAUGGAAGCAUCCAUUCACACUGCUCACCCAUAAGAGAUGGUGGAGGAAGCUUUGAAGUAACUCUGAAAGGUGAAUCCUAUUGCUUUAAUAUGACAGAAGAUUUUGUAAUUUGCAUUUUCUUCCUACCUAACUGGCUGUAAGAGCAAAAGAAGCAAAACAAAAUCAUACCCUGGAAGUGACAGCAAUAAAUUAAGGGUAAAGAAAUGCAAUAAACUGAUAGAAACUACUUUUGAAGUACAGCAAAAAGAUCAUUUCAAGUUUCAACUACAUUGGCUUGCCAGGGAUUACCAUUCGUGCAUCUGUGUAGUUUCACUUUGACAUAAGGCAGUGUCUGUGGCCACAGUCUUCAUGCAGUAAGGAACUGGGAGAAUGAAGGUGAGAAGAGGUCCUGAUACACUGGAACUUGACCUCAGACUUUGUGGAAAAGGAAGCAAAGGAAACCCAAAAGAGUAGGCACAAAGAUGAAGAGGGAGCUGGGGAGAAAGACAAGGACUCCUCGACAGCCCUCUGCUUCACAUCUGUUCGCUGCCAGCAGACAGGCGGAGGGCACCCUUGGCCACCCAGAGCUAUGCAUGCCCCUUUCUCUUCUUACCAAUGUGAGUAGAGAUGAAUGUCUGCGUGGAGGUGUGCCCGGUCCAAUCACUGCCUAAAUUAUAAUUGAGAAAGUUCAACUGCAAGUUUAUAUUUUUUUCAAGCUGGCUUUGUCUGUAUCAUCAAAAUCAGUCUGGGUCAUCCCUGCCUCCUGGGGGAGCUCCUUGGCCCUAAGAACUCAUUGCACAGAAGGACACUUGAUGUGAUGAUCACUUGUACUUCUUGACUUCAUUCUUCCAAGGAAGAUGCUUAUGUGAUCAUCACAUUGACAGAAUCUAAUUUGCUUCAAUCUUGAUUUAAAACAUGUUAUCAUGUUCCAUAGAUGACACACAUUUGUUUUUUUAAUGAAUAUGUCAAUGUAAUCUCAAACUAUUGUCUAAGAAAUGGUCACUCACCCUUGCCGUGAAAUAAGGGUUAAAGGAAAGCCUUGGGGGUUCUUAAAAUGACACUAAUAUGGUAUUUUAGCAGGGCUCAUAGAUAUACCAGAACUGUCUUAAACCACAGCCACCAAUCACCACCACUUUUCAAAUAUAUGGAUACAUAUGAAGAACAUUAGCAAGAGUACUACUUUGCUAUUGGCCGAGAGCUUUGUCUGAAUUCCAGUUCAUGGUAUCUGCUAAGGUGGAUUGUAGAAUAUGGUCUAAGAGACUUUUCAUGUUGUUAAGCUCAAACUUGAAUCCCUUCACUACAGAACAUCUGAUGGGAUGAAAGAGAAUGUAGGCUGCACUAGUGUCAAGUGGACAGCUAAGACAUACUGGUAGCACUUCGACAUCAUUGGUGCAAGAGAAAGCCCUCAGAGAGACAAUUACAUCCAGAUGUGUGACCAUUUACACCACAGUGGCUAGAUAACUAGAAUUUCAGGCUCAAUUAAGGCCUUGGAAUCUAAGUCAUAGUAAAUUAUCUUCACUGGGAGGAAACAGGGAGAGGGUAAAAAUCUUAAAAGUCUCAUGCCCUAGAAGCCUACACAGCAUGGUUUCUCAGAGAAUUUGCUGGAUGUGAUCUUUAAUCAAUAUUCUUGUCUGUUUUGUCAAUGUAUAACUAUUCAUCACAGACAACAUGACCAACACUGUGGAAAAUAUUUUAAAAUAUAAAAAAUUAUAUGUACCCACAAGGUGUU
rnacentral:lncRNA from 10 species